CUAUUUUACACAUAAUGACUUCCAUUUAAUCCACUUAUUGGCAAUUUGAUCUGCUGUCAAAACAUAUGGAGCUGGAUCAUCAGAAGAAUAACUUGUUUGUUCACCAUCUACAUCCCUCAGUAGCUCAUCAUUUGAAACUUCUGAAGUGAAAGAAAAAAAGGCUGGCUUCUUGUCUUGCACAGCUGCUGAACCCAACAAUCUGUCUUCUCCAGCCUGGACUUUCUCCUUUUGGUGGACUGAUUAUUUUAGCACGGACUUCCCUGAGUAAUUAACUAAAGAUUGCAUAGUGCAUAGGAUGCUCUGGAUGCAAUUGGAACAAGUUUAGUCAAACCAGCUAUUAGAACUGUAACUGGGUUAUAAUCUCAUUGUCAUUAGCUUCAACACCUGUUUGCUGAUACAGUGUACCUGAAAGAUGUCUAAUUAAGUGUCUUGGAGGAUAGUAUGCGACUUGGCAGCAGUUUCCUUCUCUUCUGACUAAGUAUAUAGAAAACCAUUGUCAAGUAAAAUCUUGUUUCUGAA